rnacentral:rRNA from 1 species
AACGAACGCUGGCGGCAUGCCUAACACAUGCAAGUCGAACGAGAUCUUCGGGUCUAGGGGCGCACGGGUGCGUAACGCGUGGGAAUCUGCCCUUUGGUUCGGAAUAACAGUUGGAAACGACUGAUAAUACCGGAUGAUGACGAAAGUCCAAAGAUUUAUCGCCAGAGGAUGAGCCCGCGUAGGAUUAGCUAGUUGGUGUGGUAAAGGCGCACAAAGGCGACGAUCCUUAGCUGGUCUGAGAGGAUGAUCAGCCACACUGGGACUGAGACACGGCCCAGACUCCUACGGGAGGCAGCAGUGGGGAAUAUUGGACAAUGGGCGAAAGCCUGAUCCAGCAAUGCCGCGUGAGUGAUGAAGGCCUUAGGGUUGUAAAGCUCUUUUACCCGGGAUGAUAAUGACAGUACCGGGAGAAUAAGCUCCGGCUAACUCCGUGCCAGCCGCCGCGGUAAAAC